AUUGAACGCUGGCGGCAGGCUUAACACAUGCAAGUCGAGCGAGCGGCGGACGGGUGAGUAAUGUCUGGGAAACUGCCUGAUGGAGGGGGAUAACUACUGGAAACGAUAGCUAAUACCGCCUACCUUCAGCUGUGCCCAGAUGGUAAUAGCUAGUGGGUGGGGUAAAGGAUGACCCAGGCGACGAUCCGUAGAUGGUCUGAGAGGAUGACAAGCCACACUGGAACUGAGACACGGUCCAGACUCCUACGGGAGGCAGCAGUGGGGAAUAUUGCACAAUGGGCGAAAGCCUGAGUCAGCCAUGCCGCGUGUGUGAAGAAGGCCUUCGGGUUGUAAAGCACUUUCAGCGAGGAGGCGUUACUCGCAGAAGAAGCACCGGCUAACUCCGUGCCAGCAGCCGCAGUAAUUC
rnacentral:rRNA from 1 species